UCAGCAGUAUACUCCCACCCUUUUAUUUAUCUUCCUCGGUUCGAUGUCGCCCCUCCAUCAUCCUCCCUCCAGUCUUUCACGAGCAGUGCUCCGAGUCAUAUCGUUGACAGUGCUCGCCAUAGCAUACUGUCUUUCUCUCGUCACCUUUCUUUUUUCUUAUAUAUUUUUUUUUUUUUCUUAUUUUAGUCAUUCAAUAAACUUUUUUUGACAUUUGUCAAAAACAUCUUAUUACAACAAAUGCGUCAUAUUAUAUCGUGAAAGAGAAAAGUGUUUUUCAUCGUCUCCUUUCAACGAUGGAACAUAUAAAUCCAUCGCGAUCGUCGAACGAUAAUUACAACUAGUGUUAUUUUGUUCUCCUGUGGAGUUUUAUUGUGAAUUAUUGAAUAAUGUCGUGUCGCGAGAUUUAAUAUAUGAUUUCUCUUUUUUUGGUGCGAUAAUAUGUCGAGGGUCGUACGAUGACCUAACGUCCGUCCAGCGACAGCCUCUUCGUAUCGGUCAUUGGACAGAUGUUGAAUCUGAAUGCUCAAAACUUGGUUUGCAACAUUGGCAGCAUGGUUUUCGGCAGCAAUAAAUUUCGUAUACGAAGGAAAGAGUCUGCCUGUUGUUUUUAAAUACACCGACCAGCGAAGGUUAUGACAGCGAUAAAUUUCGAAUACAAAUGUAUGUACGUACUAAGAUUUCUAUGAUCGUUGCAACCUGGAUAUGAAUAUUAAUUAUGCGUUUGUUGUGCGGUUUUAAAUAAACGACCUGUGGAUUAAAUUUAGUAAUAAUUAAAUUUUAUAUUUAUUAUGAGGUUGUCGCCAUGAUGUUUUCAGUAAAAAAAAAAAUGGAAGAAGAAGAUCAAUAAAAGCGUAAUAUACUCGUUAGAGAAAAAGAAAGAAAAUAUUUCGCAAAAAAUAUUUUUUUACUUUUAUCAAAAGUAUUGCAAAAACGUAUUUUAUGGUUUUUUCUUUUUUUUUUUUUAUUGGUACGAAAGAAGUAAUGAUGUAAUACCGACAAAUCCAUUAUUCAUAAGUGCGUUCGACGGGUAAUUUACUAUAUAUCUCGAAGGUAUUAUCCUUAUCACGAACGAUUUCGUUAGGUUUGUGGUAGUGCACGUAAGCGGGUUUCAGGUUUCAAGCACUUGCUUGGCUUUGGCGUCGUGCCUAAUCGAUACUGUCCGAUUUCCCCUUGACGACCAUCCACCGUAACAGUCGAAAAUUUUACAGUCGAGUUCUAUCGAUUCCGAGACUCGUUGUUUUUCGCAUAAAAUCUCUUUUAACUUUGUACUUGAAUCGAUCGGAGGUCAACGAUCUCCCUGUCUUAAUUCAAUAAUAAUAUCUAAAGGAAAGAUUAUUUAUGAUCAUCGACAAUCGUCAUUUUUUACAUGUUCCAACAUGUGUAGUUACCUGGUUUAUAAAAUAUUUACAGAUAAACUAAGGAAUAUCUGUUAUCGCAAGAGCAUCGCUCGAAAGAAUAUUUAUUGGAGAAUGUUUGUUUCUUUGUUUACACAAAAUAAAUAGAUAAUUUUCGAUAUUAUCGGCUUAUCGGAAUCCAAUCGAUAAGCAAAAAUACUCUAGACGACCGCUUGAGUAAGUUUCCAAUACACGUGAUUUUCUUUAAGUUUCAUUGGAAAAGAAGAGAAAAAAGAAAAAAGAAAAAGGAACAAAAAAACAAUCUUGUAUGCUUUUAAGAAUUCUUUAUUUCUUCCGCUAACACAUAUACAUGAACACACCCAAAGAAAGAUAUAAAACACGUGUCGGUUUACCCGAUCUAAGAACUAACCGAGCGAGCAAAGCCUGGGAACUAUUCGCUCGACACGACCGCAAGAAACAGAAAGAGCAGCUAAGCAAAGCGAUUGUAGCCAUCUUUGUCUCUCUCUCUCUCUCUCCCCCCCCCUCCCAUCUUCUCUUUUUCACUCUUCGUUUUCCUUCUACGUUUCAGACCGUUCUCCGAUCGAUAUCCUUUUCAGCGCAAGGACGCCUUUAUUUAUCGAACAACGAUCGAGAUUCAUUGAGUUUAAGAGAACUCCCUCGAUCUUAAAUCUAAAACGUUUCGAACGGAACGAGAAUGAUUCGAUUCGAUUCGAUCCAAAGUUCGUUCGUCAAACAUUCGGGACAUUGAACCUAUUAAAUUGGAGUUUUUGAAUCGCUUCACACGAGCCGAGAUCAUUUUUCGCGAGUACUCACGUAAUUCGCUCAUUCAUUUUUUGCUAUAUUUCGACUGAAAAAACAUUUGGCCGUUCGGUAUUCGCCAUCCUGUUAUCCUUAAUUGGAUAACACGUGGCGUAUAACUCGUACCGUACUAAUUAUAUCGAAAUUAUAGCAAAAGCUAUCGGUAUGUUAUUAUACGAUUAACCGGCAAAUAAUUUAAGUACCUAGUACUGCUCGAUAUCUCGAAAGCAAAACUACGUCCGUUUCAUGGCAAAUCGGGUAUCAUGGCAAUAGUCGAUUCGAAAUAUCUCGAAACAUGCUUUCGAUCGUUUCUUUUUCAUAUAUUUUUUUCUUCUAUUUUCUCUUUUUUCUUCUCUUUUUUUUUUUUUGUUUUUUUUUGUUUUUUUUUUCACUUCGGUCAAGAAAAUCUAGGCGUACAUUUAAUAUUGGUUCGAGACCUUGCAAAGAAUAAAAAGAGAGAGAGAGUGCGAGAGAAAAAGAGAGAUAGAGAUAUAGAUAGAGAUAGUGAUAGGUGCGCGUAUCUACUUGACGGCACGUAAUUUCGUACUCGGCGAUAUUAGUAACGACGAUCUUUCACUCGGCCAAGCCGAGCAGUAAUAUCAUCGACGUUCAAUUAGCGAGACUCCAAGCCCUAAUUGCGCUCACCUCGGACGGAUUAACAGGUACCUCGUAGUAUAUCGAUACCACCGUCUACCUCAAUCGAUCGUCUCCGGCAUUACAUUCGACGUGCUUAUCUUCCUUCCUGUCGUUGAAUCUCUUUGAAACUCCCCAUUCCCGAGAGAAGCGAAAAGUUUUCCAGAGUAGAUCUUGUAUCCUCUCUCUUUUUCUCUCUCUCUCUCUCUCUCUAUCUCUAUCUAUCUCUCUCUCUCUCUCUCUCUCUCUCUCUCUCUCUCUCUCGUCUAGGCACGCUUUCGGAUCGGCCUCGGGGUGAAAGGUAAUGAGCCGGCACGAUAAUCUCGCUUAGAAAGAGGAGAUACGUCUCGAUACACCGACUUUGUUUUCUACGAUGAAACGGAUGGGCUCGUUUGUCGUACGUCAAACCCCGGCUUAUCGAAAUAAGUAUUUCAGUUUUCGUUUUAUCCCCUUUUUGACUGAUUUUCUAUCUACCGUGUAUGACGAUACUCUGUUAUAAUGUUACAACUUAAUAAUCCUUAGAGAUUUUCAAUGUCUUACUUUUAUCCCAUUUAUUACUUCCUUAUCUUCUUUUUCAUUUUUGCUUUUGUUUUUCUCUUAUUUUUGUCUUUUCUUUUUUCUUUCACGUUCACUUCAUUGAAUUUCUAAACAUACAAUCCGAAGUCUCGUAGUUACAGAAAAAGAAAUAAUCAUUUUAUUAAGUUUUCUUUAAACCAUUAAAAGUCUUCUAGUCAAAUCAUUUUUCUUAUUUCGAUUUUUGUUUCUUUUUGAUUGGACGAUGUCAGCAAGAAUCGUAUAGAAAGCGAUGAUACUGCAACAGUCUUAUUAUAGAAUGGAUCGGAAGUUUUUAGAUCAUUUUAAAAGUUAAUUACUCUUUUUCGAGAAUUUUUAAUUAUAAAUUUUCUUUUUCACUAGACGUCUAGCUUAUAAAACUACAUGCUUAAUUAAAAGCCUAAAAAUGUUUCGAAAAAUAGUAAUUGAUUUUUAAAAUCACUUAAGAAAUAUUGGUCUAUCGUGACAUUGAUUUAUCCUGUAUAUAUUAAACGAACAUUCUGUACACAAAUCAAAAUAAAUAUAUAUCUUCUCAAUUCUAAGUCUCUCUCUCUCUCUCUCUCGUAUUUUAGAAUUUGUUUAUAUCUAUCGAUGACCGUCGUCGCAUAACAGCUCAACGAUCUGGAUCGAAAAUCGAACGUUUAUUUCUCGAGAGGAGUCUCGUUUUUACCACUCCAGACGCGUAUAGAAAGGAGCCAUGCGUUCUACAUUCGCGUCGCCACGUUCGAGUGUGUUAGUAACCUCGUGUUCUUUACUCAUGGACCCGUUUGUUCUCCGAAGAAGAGUUUACGUUCGAGCGUGCAAAGUCGUGUAAAUCUUUCUACGUAAGCAAAGCCUUCGUACCAACGUUAAUGAUCGUUACGGCAUCUUUUCCUUUUUUUUUGUUUUUUUUUUUUUUUUUUUCUUUAUUUCUUUCCCUUUAUUUUAUUUUAUUUCUGUUCUUUUCUUUUUUUUUUUCUUUUUCAAUAACAUCGCAAUGGCAUCGAACUCAUAGCUCUACAUUAAUUUUCUCUCGAUAGACGUCUUCCUCGUAUACAUCGCAAACUUCAAAUAAACUUGUUGGAUUUUUAUCCAAUUGACGUCGGUCUUGAUUAACCUUCUAUGAACCAGUUUUUCUUUUCUUUUUUUUUUUUUUCUUUUCCUUAUGUCUACAAAAAUAUUACAGAUACAAUGUGAAAGUCUUAGUAUUAUAUUUGUACUGGCAUAAUUAUACCGUAUUAAAUAUGGUUUAUACUUAGAAAAUAAGAAAGAAAGAAAGAAAAAGAAACAUGAUGAACUUCGGAUAUGAAACAAUAAUUAAGUUUUUCUCGAUAGAAUGAAAUGAAACUUUUAAAAAUACAGAAAUGUACCGUUUACGGCUUCACAGUUGCAUGGUGUUAUACAGAGGAGGAUUAACAUAUAUUUUAUUCGAAAUAAAAUAUAUAUAAUUACACGUUAGUUGAUAUAUAAGGAAAGUUGAAGAGGAAACAAAACUAAAUCUUUCUCGACGCUCACUGGUCGAUUGUACAGUUACGACUUAACUUUGACUGACUCUCUAAACAAACUCUAAAUAAAUUAUAGGAGCAACAAAAACAUAAACUACUCAUAUCGCCACGCGACAAUCUACCAUAGACAUAUUUGUCUGAAUAUUUUCUGAAUAAAACUCACGAUCUCUUCGGAUAAGCUGGUAGGUAAUACGGUAUGGCAAUAAAAUUCAUAAAUCAACGUUCGAGGCUUUCACUGGGAACAACGACGGCGCUACAACGAAUACCAUUAUUUUUUCUUUUCCUCUUUUUUUUUCUUUUUUUUUUUUUUCAAACAAAGAAACAAAAAGCUCGGAGAAAAUUAAAAAAGUAAUUAUUUUUAAUGAUACUCGCCUCGUGCAUAUUUAUCUCGCGACAAAGAAGAGAACUUGAUAAAUUGUUAAAAAAGAAAAGAGAAAAAAACGUCAUCAUGACGAUGCGUUACUACUUUAAAUGAUAUAACGUCGUAUAGCGAUCAUAUAACAUAUUUUUCUAUUCAUGAUUGUCAUAACUACGGGAAUCGUAUGUUCAUAUCAUAAAAUAUCUCUUUUAGUUCGAACGUAAAAAUCAUCGACGUGUUUUAAAAAGCCGCGCAAAGCAACAACGUGUCCUCUUUGCUUAGGGAGGAAGCGAAAUCGAUUCGCGAGAACGAAACGAACGAUGCGUAUUUCCGCGCGAUAAAGACGUUCCACGAUUUACGGCGAGACGAGUCCGUCGUCCUAUGACUUUCCGCUUGAUUUAUGGUGCCUUUCAAAAGGGGCUCUCCUAGUGCUCGUGAGCCACGAAAGAGAAAGAGAGAGAGAGAGAGAGAGAGAGAGACAGUCGAUUCGGUGGCGAGAUCGUUCGUGCCGGAAAAGUCGACGUUUCGAAUUCCCUUCCGUAGAGAGAAAGCAAGUUUCACGGACGAAAACAUCGAGAGACGAUACUAAUUAUAAGUUCGCUUAACAAUUUUUUCUCAUUUUUAAUAUUUUUUCUAUUACUUACGGGAGAGUUGCAAAAAUCGUAACACUUAUGUUUUCUUAUUCUAUAUAAAAUUUUACGGUAUUCAAUAUUAGAAAUUGUAAUAGUAGCUUGAUUAAAGACACCUGCUAUAUAAAUAUACAUGUUCGAUAUUAUUAAAAAAGAACUAAUUUAGUGGAACUAAGUACAAUAGUGUAAGACGUGCAAUCAAUCAGUAUUGUAAAAAUUAAAUGUAAUAAGUUUGUGAAUGAAAAUAUCAAUAAAAAUAAGA